CGGCUGGAUGAUGAAGAGCUGGUCGAGUACAUUAUUACUGGCCUUGGAGAAGAAUUCAUGCCAUUGGUCACUGCUCUCACCGCCAGGGCAGAACCGAUCUCGGUGGGGGAGCUGUAUUCACAGCUUCUCAAUUUUGAAA